rnacentral:rRNA from 1 species
UACGUAGGGUGCGGGCGUUAUUCGGAAUUACUGGGCGUAAAGCGUGCGCAGGCGGCUUUUCAAGUCAGGUGUGAAAUCCCCGGGCUUAACCUGGGAAUGGCGCUUGAAACUGGAAGGCUUGGGUGUGGCAGAGGGGGGUGGAAUUCCACGUGUAGCAGUGAAAUGCGUAGAGAUGUGGAGGAACACCGAUGGCGAAGGCAGCCCCCUGGGCUGAAACUGACGCUCAGGCACGAAAGCGUGGGGAGCAAACAGG